rnacentral:rRNA from 1 species
GACGAACGCUGGCGGCGUGCUUAACACAUGCAAGUCGAGCGGAAAGGCCCUUCGGGGUACUCGAGCGGCGAGCGGGUGAGUAACACGUGAGUAAUCUGCCCCUCACUCAGGGAUAACCGCGGGAAGCUGCGGCUAAUACUUGAUAUGACCACGUCUCGCAUGGGGUGUGGUGGAAAGCGUUUAGUGGUGGGGGAUGUGCUCGCGGCCUAUCAGCUUGUUGGUGAGAUAGUGGCUCACCAAGGCUUCGACGGGUAGCCGGCCUGAGAGGGUGACCGGCCACACUGGGACUGAGACACGGCCCAGACUCCUACGGGAGGCAGCAGUGGGGAAUAUUGGACAAUGGGCGAAAGCCUGAUCCAGCAACGCCGCGUGAGGGAUGACGGCCUUCGGGUUGUAAACCUCUUUCACCUCUGACGAAGCGCAAGUGACGGUAAGGGGAGAAGAAGGACCGGCCAACUACGUGCCAGCAGCCGCAGUAAGAC